AUUGAACGCUGGCGGCAGGCCUAACACAUGCAAGUCGAGCGAGCGGCGGACGGGUGAGUAAUGUAUGGGGACUGCCCGAUAGCGGGGGAUAACUACUGGAAACGGUAGCUAAUACCGCAUACUAUCGGAUAACCCAUAUGGGAUUAGCUAGUAGGUGAGGUAAUGGCUCACCUAGGCGACGAUCCCUAGCUGGUCUGAGAGGAUGAUCAGCAACACGGGGAAUGAGAAACGUCACAGACUCCAAGGGAGGCAGAAGGGGGGAAUAUUGCACAAGGGGCGGAAGACGGAUGCAGCCAGGGCGCGUGUAUGAAGAAGGCCCGAGGGUUGUAAAGUACUUUCAGUCGGGGGGCGUUACCGACAGAAGAAGCACCGGCUAACUCCGUGCCAGCAGCCGCGGUAAUAC
rnacentral:rRNA from 1 species